GAAUGGGGAAACCCAGUGUGUUUCGACACACUAUCAUUAACUGAAUCCAUAGGUUAAUGAGGCGAACCGGGGGAACUGAAACAUCUAAGUACCCCGAGGAAAAGAAAUCAACCGAGAUUCCCCCAGUAGCGGCGAGCGAACGGGGAGCAGCCCAGAGCCUGAAUCAGUAUGUGUGUUAGUGGAAGCGUCUGGAAAGGCGCGCGAUACAGGGUGACAGCCCCGUACACAAAAAUGCACAUGCUGUGAGCUCGAUGAGUAGGGCGGGACACGUGGUAUCCUGUCUGAAUAUGGGGGGACCAUCCUCCAAGGCUAAAUACUCCUGACUGACCGAUAGUGAACCAGUACCGUGAGGGAAAGGCGAAAAGAACCCCGGCGAGGGGAGUGAAAAAGAACCUGAAACCGUGUACGUACAAGCAGUGGGAGCACGCUUAGGCGUGUGACUGCGUACCUUUUGUAUAAUGGGUCAGCGACUUAUAUUCUGUAGCAAGGUUAACCGAAUAGGGGAGCCGAAGGGAAACCGAGUCUUAACUGGGCGUUAAGUUGCAGGGUAUAGACCCGAAACCCGGUGAUCUAGCCAUGGGCAGGUUGAAGGUUGGGUAACACUAACUGGAGGACCGAACCGACUAAUGUUGAAAAAUUAGCGGAUGACUUGUGGCUGGGGGUGAAAGGCCAAUCAAACCGGGAGAUAGCUGGUUCUCCCCGAAAGCUAUUUAGGUAGCGCCUCGUGAAUUCAUCUCCGGGGGUAGAGCACUGUUUCGGCAAGGGGGUCAUCCCGACUUACCAACCCGAUGCAAACUGCGAAUACCGGAGAAUGUUAUCACGGGAGACACACGGCGGGUGCUAACGUCCGUCGUGAAGAGGGAAACAACCCAGACCGCCAGCUAAGGUCCCAAAGUCAUGGUUAAGUGGGAAACGAUGUGGGAAGGCCCAGACAGCCAGGAUGUUGGCUUAGAAGCAGCCAUCAUUUAAAGAAAGCGUAAUAGCUCACUGGUCGAGUCGGCCUGCGCGGAAGAUGUAACGGGGCUAAACCAUG
rnacentral:rRNA from 1 species